AUUGAACGCUGGCGGCAUGCCUUACACAUGCAAGUCGAACGGUAACAGGUCUUCGGAUGCUGACGAGUGGCGAACGGGUGAGUAAUACAUCGGAACGUGCCCGAGAGUGGGGGAUAACGAAGCGAAAGCUUUGCUAAUACCGCAUACGAUCUCAGGAUGAAAGCAGGGGACCGCAAGGCCUUGCGCUCACGGAGCGGCCGAUGGCAGAUUAGGUAGGUGGUGGGAUAAAAGCUUACCAAGCCGACGAUCUGUAGCCGGUCUGAGAGGACGACCAGCCACACUGGGACUGAGACACGGCCCAGACUCCUACGGGAGGCAGCAGUGGGGAAUUUUGGACAAUGGGCGCAAGCCUGAUCCAGCCAUGCCGCGUGCAGGAUGAAGGCCUUCGGGUUGUAAACUGCUUUUGUACGGAACGAAAAGACUCUGGUUAAUACCUGGGGUCCAUGACGGUACCGUAAGAAUAAGCACCGGCUAACUACGUGCCAGCAGCCGCGGUAAAAC
rnacentral:rRNA from 1 species